UACGGAGGGUGCAAGCGUUAUCCGGAUUCACUGGGUUUAAAGGGUGCGUAGGCGGUCUUUUAAGUCAGUGCUGAAAUAUCCCGGCUUAACCGGGAGGGUGGCAUUGAUACUGAAGGACUUGAGUAAAGUUGAGGUAGGCGGAAUUGACGGUGUAGCGGUGAAAUGCUUAGAUAUCGUCAAGAACACCGAUAGUGUAGACAGCUUACUAAGCUUUAACUGACGCUGAGGCACGAAAGUGUGGGGAUCAAACAGG
rnacentral:rRNA from 1 species